AAAAAUUGAAGAAGAAGAAUUGAAAAGAAAACAACAAAAUAAAAGUAAUCGUGUGGUUUAUGUGACUUGGGACAGUAAAAAACAUGAAAUUGGGUCAAUAAUUCAAGGUCGCCAUUGUGUGGAGUCCAAAUUAACCUGUGAAAAUGGGUGGCUCGGGUGGGAUAUACUCAAAUGUCGAAACUGAAUUUUGAAGGCGAAUAAUGUGUCUGAAGUCUUUGGCUUCGAUAGAAAUAAUAUGGAAGAACGUGAAAAUAGUGCGGUCAUGAGAAAAUACUUAAGCAAGAGAUAAAAGAACCUAUGAUUCCUAAAUUCAAUGAUUUUUUGAUGCCAAGACCAAUUUAAUUAAAUGUUGGGGCACCUGGAAGGUCACUUCCGAAUACAAUUGAAUCGCAUCAAAAUGUUCAGAAUAAGGAAAUUUGGGCUGUUACUAAGGGUGGGCUUGACAAUUUACCGAUUUCAUGUCGAGACACUGGCACCGUUACGAAGGAUACUAAUGAGAAUUGGGAUGCCACCCAUGGUGGACGUAUAAUUUUACCAUUGCGUCGUGGUGGCUGCUCUCAAGUCUCACCAAAGUCCAAAGUGAAGGAUACUCAAUUGUUGCCAACUCCUUUCAGCGAUAUGCGCAAUCUUCAGGUAGCUAGCCGAAGACGAAUGCUUGAGGAUGUGGGUUACCAAAUCGCUCCUUUCCCAAGAAGAAUUUUUAGUUCUUUGGAUAAUCCAUCGGCUACUCCAAAAAGGAUGGGAAAUCAUUUGGGAAAUCCAAUGGCCACACCUCGUUGGAAAGUGAACGACAGCCUAAAAGAUAUCGUGUAGUUCGACCCUCGUCAGUGAAAUACCUGAGUGGUAUGCUCACCGCUUGUCAAAAACUGCAACAGAUCAGGUUGGUGAUUUGAUUUAUGACCGGUAUUUUAUCUUGACAAACAUGACAGUCAGUCGUCUGACAUCCGUUUGGCUUUGCUGGGACAUUUAGCUGGCGCAAUUUAUUUCGGCAC